rnacentral:rRNA from 1 species
AGUCGAGGGGCAGCAUUUCAGUUUGCUUGCAAACUGGAGAUGGCGACCGGCGCACGGGUGAGUAACACGUAUCCAACCUGCCGAUAACUCGGGGAUAGCCUUUCGAAAGAAAGAUUAAUACCCGAUGGNAUAAUCAGACCGCAUGGUCUUAUUAUUAAAGAAUUUCGGUUAUCGAUGGGGAUGCGUUCCAUUAGGCAGUUGGUGAGGUAACGGCUCACCAAACCUUCGAUGGAUAGGGGUUCUGAGAGGAAGGUCCCCCACAUUGGAACUGAGACACGGUCCAAACUCCUACGGGAGGCAGCAGUGAGGAAUAUUGGUCAAUGGGCGCAGGCCUGAACCAGCCAAGUAGCGUGAAGGAUGACUGCCCUAUGGGUUGUAAACUUCUUUUAUAUGGGAAUAAAGUUUUCCACGUGUGGAAUUUUGUAUGUACCAUAUGAAUAAGGAUCGGCUAACUCCGUGCCAGCAGCCGCGGUAAUACGGAGGAUCCGAGCGUUAUCCGGAUUUAUUGGGUUUAAAGGGAGCGUAGGUGGACAGUUAAGUCAGUUGUGAAAGUUUGCGGCUCAACCGUAAAAUUGCAGUUGAUACUGGCUGUCUUGAGUACAGUAGAGGUGGGCGGAAUUCGUGGUGUAGCGGUGAAAUGCUUAGAUAUCACGAAGAACUCCGAUUGCGAAGGCAGCUCACUGGACUGCAACUGACACUGAUGCUCGAAAGUGUGGGUAUCAAACAGGAUUAGAUACCCUGGUAGUCCACACAGUAAACGAUGAAUACUCGCUGUUUGCGAUAUACAGUAAGCGGCCAAGCGAAAGCAUUAAGUAUUCCACCUGGGGAGUACGCCGGCAACGGUGAAACUCAAAGGAAUUGACGGGGGCCCGCACAAGCGGAGGAACAUGUGGUUUAAUUCGAUGAUACGCGAGGAACCUUACCCGGGCUUAAAUUGCAUUUGAAUANUNUGGAAACAGNNUAGCCGNAAGGCAAAUGUGAAGGUGCUGCAUGGUUGUCGUCAGCUCGUGCCGUGAGGUGUCGGCUUAAGUGCCAUAACGAGCGCAACCCUUAUCUUUAGUUACUAACAGGUCAUGCUGAGGACUCUAGAGAGACUGCCGUCGUAAGAUGUGAGGAAGGUGGGGAUGACGUCAAAUCAGCACGGCCCUUACGUCCGGGGCUACACACGUGUUACAAUGGGGGGUACAGAAGGCAGCUACCUGGUGACAGGAUGCUAAUCCCAAAAGCCUCUCUCAGUUCGGAUCGAAGUCUGCAACCCGACUUCGUGAAGCUGGAUUCGCUAGUAAUCGCGCAUCAGCCAUGGCGCGGUGAAUACGUUCCCGGGCCUUGUACACACCGCCCGUCAAGCCAUGAAAGCCGGGGGUACCUGAAGUACGAACCGCAAGGAGCUCCUAGG